rnacentral:rRNA from 1 species
GACGAACGCUGGCGGCGUGCUUAACACAUGCAAGUCGAGCGGUAAGGCCCUUUCGGGGGUACGACGAGCGGCGAACGGGUGAGUAACACGUGGGUGACCUGCCCUUAGCUCUGGGACAAGCCUGGGAAACGUGGGUCUAAUACCGGAUAUGACUCCAUAACGCAUGUUGUGGGGUGGAAAGCCUUGUGCGGCUAGGGAUGGGCCCGCGGCCUAUCAGCUUGUUGGUGGGGUGAUGGCCUACCAAGGCGACGACGGGUAGCCGGCCUGAGAGGGCGACCGGCC